GCUGUGACGCAAUCGGCCUUAAAAUGCGGUCUUUAAGGCUGCAGACCCUGAAUUGGGAUACAGCCUGAGUGAGGACACCUCAGCUGCUCGGACAUUUUGAAGAGUGACUUGUCGGAGCUGCUCAGACUCUCAGCUUCUGCAGACCAAAAGAGUCUCUCUGACCUCAGUUUGAUUUACAAUCCAAAGCAAAAGGUCAGAGGUCAAGUGGCUCAUCAGACUGUGCAGAGGAAACCUUUCUACACAUCACAAAGGAAAAUCUAUAAAAUGGCACAGAGUUCAUUAUAUUUAAUGAACAAGCUUAGAACAAAUGCCUUUUUAUUCAUCCAACACUUUGACAGGAAUGAAUCACGGAUGAGACAGAUCGUGAGAAAGUUUCAGAGCAUUUCUAAUGAAGUAAAAGAAAUGCAAGGAAAAACUGACAAAGCAAGAAAAGCGGGAGCUGUUACUGGAGGAAUCGGAACAGGAGCCAUCUUAGGUGCGCUCAUGUUAACUCCAUUCACUGGAGGACUGAGUUUAGCUGUAGCUGGUGUUGGAGCUGCUACUGCUGUUGGAGGUGGAGCUACUGUUGUUGGAUCCAACAUAACAAAAAUGUGGUCAGAGAGUAGACGUGCAGAGGAAGUAGAAAUGUGGGGAGAAGAAUUUAUGGCAAAAGUUGAACCAAUGAAGAAGAAUCUGGAGGCCGUAAAGAUGACGUGUGAAGACUUGGAGAAAAAAACAGCUGAAGCUCAGGCUGAAAACACUGUGACUGAUGUGGAGGAACUUCAGAGGACCCUCAGACGAGUGUCUCGCCUAAAAGAGAUGAGUUCAGGACUUCUGGUUGAAACUAACAUCUUGCUGGCCUUUGUGGGUGGGCUGGUAAAGCUCAUCAAGCAAAUCUUCAGACUCACUGCUACCCCUGAAGAGGAUAAAAAGUUAAGCGAUGCCAUUAUCAACUCGGCUGAUCAGAGUCAGAAGAUCAUUGAGGGAUUUGAUAACAUGAGAACAGAACUGAGAAAGUUUACAAGAAAUGAAAGAAAGUAGAAAAGUCACCUCCACCCCUCCUCCUCCACCCUGUGAGCCUGUACUGUUCACACUAACAAAUAAUGUUUUAUGAAUAAAGGAUCAUCAGACUGUGACCUGGACUGUAUGAAGGACUUGUGUAGUUUCAGUCUGAAGCUUCCCCAUGUCCUCCGUUCACAGACUGGAUGUUGUUGUAUAUCCAUGUAAAGCUGACCCACAGCAGCAUGAUGUCACAGAAGGUAACAGAGGUCAUAUGAAGAGGGUCCAUGUUCUCUGCUGAUUUCCAACAUUUGACUGUUUUUACUCCACAUUUACCUGAACUCUGAGAGACUCGCUGACUUAAUUUGUCCUGGCUGGAAAAUGUUUUUCAUUCAUGAGCUAAAAAGAUGAUUUUAUUAAUUUGGACAAACUGAUUAUAAAAUAAACCUGAGAAACUUCUUGAGCCCAGAAAUGAUUUCUAAUUCUAACAGAAGUUAACAAUUUCAAAGCUGGAGAAACUUGUGAAAUUUUCUACACAGGUGUUUCACAAAGAGCCUCUGAGUGUUUCAUGUGUUUUGUUCUGAUGAACGUUUUUAUUGUGAACUCAAAAUAAACUAAAACUAGGUGAGGAAUAAAGUAGUUCAUUGAAAUACAAUUCAAACUGAAGACAACUUCAAUAAUUUUGUGUUUUAUCAUUAUCCAAUCCUAUAUUUUGAGAUUGACAUGAACAAAAAAACCCAAAACAAAACAAAACAACCUUUAUUUGUCACAUACACAAUUAUACAGAGUACAACAUGUAGUGAAAUUCUUGUGUCCUAGCUGCGGAUAGGCUGCAGACAUGGCCGCGCCAUUCCAGGGCUUGGUUUUAGCAUUGGGGGGGGGGUUCAGCCGGGACCCGUGCUAGAUACCGGGUGGGAAUUGAACUUGUUAGGCCUGCUCCAAAGGUGUGUAGUCUUACCACUACGCUAUCCAGCUGCCGCAAAAAUAUGAUAGGUGCAUUACAUGUUUCAGUGAUUCAGUUAUCUCCCACAUACACAUUUUUUUCAGAUAUCUGCAGAUCAGACAUUUUCUCCAAUUUCAGAAACAAAACUUUCCGGUGGCACCAACUUCAAGUUGAGGGGAUAUGCUCCUUACUCUAGCUCCAACACGUAAAGGGUUUAUUUCUCUUAUAUAUGACAAACAGGUGAGCAUGAAAGGUUCUUCAGUGGGUCCGAUUAUAACGGCCUGGGAACAAGAUUUAAAUUAGUCAGUGUCUGCAGAGACUUAAUGCUCAAGUUAGUUAAUUCUACAUCCUUAUGUGCCCGCCACUGUCUUUUACAAUUUAAGGUUGUACAUAGGUUCCACAAAGUCAAAUUAUCUCGUAUUUAUCAGAAUGCAGACCCCUCCUGUGAUAAACGUGGGAGUGAGGAGGCUUCCCUCAUCCAUAUGUUCUGGACAUGUCCUAGCCUUGAAGGGUUUUGGAGAGACAUAUUUCAAACCUUGUCCCUAAUUCUUGGAUACCAUAUGGAUCCUAAUACAUUAGUUGCAAUUUUUGGUACCACUGGGGAGUCUGAUGCACGGUUGAGCUCGUCACAGCGUUGCACACUGUCUUUCGUUCCCCUUGUGGCUAGGCGUGCAGUCCUACUAAGAUGGAGGGGUGCUCCUUUGCCUACCCAUGCUUAGUGGCUGAGGGACCUUAUGUGCUACUUGAGGUGGAAAAGAUCCAUUAUUUGAUUAGUAAUACCAGUGGUAAGUUUUACAAGGUGUGGGGGGAAUUCCUGAAAUACCUUUCCAGCCUUCAGGCUGUAAACCUGACUUCAAUCAUUACUCAGUAACCCCCCCUUUUUUUUCUGUUUGCUUGUUUGUUUGUUUAAACCUGGCUUGAGGGACAGGGCUGUUGUGUGGAAUGAGUAGGGGGUAAGCAAUUAAAAGAUAUGUGAAUGUGUCAUUAAUCUGUAUUCUAUUCUGUCAGCUUAAGCAAUCAUUGUGAAACCUACUUGCUUAUUGUAUAAUAAUUUGGUGUGUAUCUCUUUUUCUUUGUUGUUCCAAUCUAAUAAAAAUAUCUCUGAGAAAAAUAUAA